GACUUGGCGGUGCUUUAUAUCCACCUAGAGGAGCCUGUUCCAUAACCGAUGAUCCCCGAUUUACCUCACCACUCCUUGCUAAUUCAGCCUAUAUACCGCCAUCUUCAGUUAACCCUAAAAAGGAAAUAAAGUAAGCCUAAUCAGUAUUACUAAAGAAGUUAGGUCAAGGUGUAGCCCAUGGAGUGGAGCGAAAUGGGCUACAUUUUCUAUUACUAGAACAUUACGAAACUCUACGUGAAAUCCGUAGAAUAAAGGAGGAUUUAGUAGUAAAUUAAAACUAGAGUGUUUAAUUGAAUAGAGCAAUGAAGCACGCACACACCGCCCGUCACCCUCCUCAAUUUCUCAACAAUUAAAAGUACAUAACACCUAAUUACAAAAGAUUGAGAGGAGACAAGUCGUAACAAGGUAAGUGUACUGGAAAGUGCACUUGGAAAAAUCAAAAU
rnacentral:ncRNA from 1 species